rnacentral:misc_RNA from 1 species
GCUGAUAUUCCAGUUGCCCAUCCAGGAUCAAAUGAACUAGAAAAGAGAGUGAGUGGGAAACAAGCAGCAUCAAAGGCUUCCGUGAAAUCUUUUCCGGUAAGUUGAUUGCCAGCAAAAUCUAGGAACAUUUUGAAAGCGGAUAACUGAAGCAGGAUCUGACUGGUUACCUCCACCACUUCCAGCAGAGCACGUUCAACAGCUGAAAACUCUUGGCCUUUUAUGAAAUGAGAUGGGACAGUUUUCCUUUUUCCCUGAAGAGCACCUGUUGAAAGCUUGAAACUGACCAUAUGCUUUUGCUGCUCAGUUGCACUUCUUUACUUUGGACCAAGAAAGUCCUAUACAUAUUGCUCACAAAUAUAUCACAGCCUAUGCUUUUCUUCUGUAUUUUAGAAUGGCUAGCUUUUGUCUUAUCCGUGUGAG